rnacentral:lncRNA from 1 species
GGUGUGCUGGAAGAUGGCGUGUCUGCCAAUGGUGUGCCCCGGUCUACAGCCCCAGGUGGAACAUCCAACCCAGAGAAGAAGAUGAGCUGUGGGACCCAGUGCCCGAAUCCCCAGAGCCUCGGCUCAGGCCCCCUGACCCAGAAACAGAAUGGCCUCCGGACUACAGAGGCUAAAAGGGACGCUAAGCGGACAUCUGCAAAAGAAGUCACCAUUAAUGUCACAGAAAGCAUCCGACAGGUGGACAGAAAUCAAAGAAUCACAAAGAAAUGCAUCAACUAGGAGAGCUGAGGGCCAGAUGGACUUCUUUGGUGCCCUUUGCAUCCUGGAUCCUAUCGAGGAACUUUGAAGAAGCGGGUGGCCCUUGCUGCGUGGGAACGCUGCGGAAUGCCUUGUGAGACCCUGUCUUACCCGGCAGCAGUGCUCCCUGAGCAUUGGCAGCCUCCUGUUUAUUGUGUAAACGUAUCGGCAGAGCACUCCCAUAGGGUAUUAAACUGCAAAUGUGCGUUCAGUUUGCCUCUUGCGCUCGGGCAGUCUGGUCUGAUGGAAACAUGGUGAGCUAAAACCACCUGCUGCCGUAGUGUGUGCUGGGUCGGGCAAGCUUAUUCUUUCUUUCUUUUUAAAAUACCACCAACACAAAGUGUACUGUGUUCAGUUACAAGUUGGCUUCCACCCAGUUCUAAACCCUCAUGUAUGAGAAAUCAAGAAAACAGGAAAACGUUGUUAUUCUUGUUUCCUUAGCCCAGUAUGAGAUGGAUUCAGGUCCAAUUUUAUACACACUGACCCCACUGACACCCAUGGCGUGUGCUGGGGCCUCUCUGGGAUACAGCCACACCCACGUCUCUCUCCUCCACCUUCACCCUCCUGGCCCAGGCCAGGGUCCAUGUCAGCCUCUGAAUCAUAGCAUCACAGUCAUGGGCAAUGCAUCCAACCUCGGACGCCCUUGCGGCUCUGCAGACAUUGUGUUUCUCCAGCUUUCCUCUUCCUUUCCUUGUGCUGAGCAUUUUUUCUCUCCAUUCAGGCCAUUUGCAAUUGUUAAUCAAAGACCGGCCACUGCUCACAAGAGGGAGAAGAUCUGAAACGUGUCGGCUUUCUUUUAGCCUCUCCUUGCACACCCAGGACUGUGUCAUUUGGUGUCUGCAAAGGAAUCGAUUUAAGAAGCCGGUACCUGGUGGAUGUGUGUUCACGGGAACAUCAGAUCGCCAUGCAGUGUGUUAAAAAUCAGGCAGCUGAGACGGGAAAAAAUAAGUAAAUAAAUAACCAAUUUUGAUAGGAUUUUCUAGCAUUUCUUUAAACAUGUAAAGGUAGAAGUAUUUUCCUCCAAAGUAAUGUAGCAUGAUUUUUAGAGGACUCUUAACAUGCCUGGGAUUGGGAGAGGAAGGACUAAAGUUGUACCCAAUCAUACUAAUAAACUCCACAUUUAGCAGAACUAGGCAGUCUGAUGGUGUGUGUUUAUCUAACAGGGUCCAGAGAAUUGACACAGGCAGGUUGAAAACUCGAGACAUGUGGUGUCCCUAUCUGCCAACUCUGUUAUUCCUCAAACACAGGCAGGUCGUGUCCGUCCGUCCAUCCAUCCUCUUUCCUUCGGUGGAUUGCCUGUUUUUUCAUUAAACAUUAAAUGCCAGUCCUGCAUCGGGCACCGUGCAGAGGCUGAGAGGUUUGGAGUCUGGCCAGGCACGGCUUUGUAUCCUGAAUCUGACGGUGAACUUAAUAACGAGGAGAUUGGCUUAGAUGCUGACGAGGUGUGUGAUGUGAAUUGCUCUGCAGUGUAUUCUCACUUUUAUUCUCAGGAUGGGUUUCUGUCCUAAACUCCAGAUCUGGGUGUUCUCAUCACUGUCUAAGACUUUACCAUACACAAAAGUAUGGUUUUCCCAAACCUUUUCCAUUUUGUGAUUCUUUGAAAAAGGGCUUUUAGGGAACUUCAUGUUCCAGGACUUUUAAAAAUAAUAAAGCAAAACCUGUGAUGCCCAUGACCCCUCUGGCAUUACUCAGCAGGAGCUACCACCUGCCGAAAUUCGGCAUUGGUCCUGCGAGUUCAAGGGCUCACUGUCCCGGAGCACGGGCACGAUGCAUGGUGCUUUUGUGCUGUGUUUCUUCACCAGUCACUGUGCUGCCAGCCGCAGGCUAAGCCUCAUUUCUCUUUACAACCUUGUUUUUGCAUCACGUAAGUGCUUCGUGUGGUUUGGAAUUUAUCAGCUUGAGACAGUGUCUCCGUUUGACAUAGAAACAAUUGCUCACUUUGGAGGAGAAGGAAAUGAAGGGCACAGCUGGGUUUCUCCUGUCCAGAAUGAUCUGGAUGUCCCCAGGACCAGAAGGUAAACCUUGUUACUGGAAACUCAUCGGACAACUUUUUCAUGUGUGUAUGAUACAGGAACUGAUUCUUAUUGUUCUAUUAGCCUAACACUUUCUCUGGCAAAGUGUGUGUCAAUAAAGUCAUCAAUUGCAAACACA